rnacentral:rRNA from 1 species
GCCCGCCGCGCCCCGCGCCCGUCCCGCCGCCCCCGCCCGCCUACGGGAGGCAGCAGUGGGGAAUUUUCCGCAAUGGGCGAAAGCCUGACGGAGCAAUACCGCGUGAGGGAUGACGGCCUAUGGGUUGUAAACCUCUUUUUUCAGGGAGGAACAAAAUGACGUGUACCUGAAGAAUAAGCAUCGGCUAACUCCGUGCCAGCAGCCGCGGUAAGACGGAGGAUGCAAGUGUUAUCCGGAAUCACUGGGCGUAAAGCGUCUGUAGGUGGUCAAAUAAGUCAACUGUUAAAUCUUGAGGCCCAACCUCAAAAUCGCAGUCGAAACUAUUAGACUAGAGUAUAGUAGGGGUAAAGGGAAUUUCCAGUGGAGCGGUGAAAUGCGUAGAGAUUGGAAAGAACACCGAUGGCGAAGGCACUUUACUGGGCUAUUACUAACACUCAGAGACGAAAGCUAGGGUAGCAAAUGGGAUUAGAUACCCCAGUAGUCCUAGCUGUAAACAAUGGAUACUAGAUGUUGGACAGAUCGACCUGUGCAGUAUCA